CUAACUACGUGCCAGCAGCCGCGGUAAUACGUAGGUGGCAAGCGUUAUCGGGAAUUAUUGGGCGUAAAGCGCGCGCAGGCGGUCUCUUAAGUCUGAUGUGAAAGCCCACGGCUCAACCGUGGAGGGUCAUUGGAAACUGGGAGACUUGAGUGCAGGAGAGAAAAGUGGAAUUCCACGUGUAGCGGUGAAAUGCGUAGAGAUGUGGAGGAACACCAGUGGCGAAGGCGGCUUUUUGGCCUGUAACUGACGCUGAGGCGCGAAAGCGUGGGGAGCAAACAGGAUUAGAUACCCUGGUAGUCCACGCCGUAAACGAUGAGUGCUAGGUGUUGGGGGGUUCCACCCUCAGUGCUGAAGUUAACACAUUAAGCACUCCGCCUGGGGAGUACGACCGCAAGGUUGAAACUCAAAGGAAUUGACGGGGGCCCGCACAAGCAGUGGAGCAUGUGGUUUAAUUCGAAGCAACGCGAAGAACCUUACCAGGUCUUGACAUCCUUUGACCACUCUAGAGAUAGAGCUUUCCCCUUCGGGGGACAAAGUGACAGGUGGUGCAUGGUUGUCGUCAGCUCGUGUCGUGAGAUGUUGGGUUAAGUCCCGCAACGAGCGCAACCCUUGACCUUAGUUGCCAGCAUUCAGUUGGGCACUCUAAGGUGACUGCCGGUGACAAACCGGAGGAAGGUGGGGAUGACGUCAAAUCAUCAUGCCCCUUAUGACCUGGGCUACACACGUGCUACAAUGGAUGAUACAAAGGGUUGCGAAGCCGCGAGGCCAAGCCAAUCCCAAAAAGUCAUUCUCAGUUCGGAUUGUAGGCUGCAACUCGCCUACAUGAAGCCGGAAUUGCUAGUAAUCGCGGAUCAGCAUGCCGCGGUGAAUACGUUCCCGGGCCUUGUACACACCGCCCGUCACACCACGAGAGUUUGUAACACCCGAAGUCGGUGGGGUAACCCUUUGGAGCCAGCCGCCGAAGUGACU
rnacentral:rRNA from 1 species